ACGCGACCCCAGGUCAGGCGGGGCU
rnacentral:rRNA from 1 species